CUUGGAUGUGGCAAGCAGAGGUGGUGGCCUUCUGUGCUGUCAGCAGCAGCCUUUGCCCUGAGAGAGAUGACACUAGUACCUUAAGAAAUUUGCUACAGCAGUCAGUCCUGGUGCAAGACUGGUAGGCUUUCAAGAGGCUCUUCUAGGACAGAAAAUUACUUUGUUAUAUUGAGUCACCUGGACAAUCUAUAGAGGGGGAUUUUUUCAACCACUGCCUUACAAGGACAAUUUCAGGUUCCAAACACCACUUAUUUUUCUUCUCAAACUGAACUCUAUCAGCCUCCUUUAAUGCCUCUAAGAUGUCCAGUCCAGGCCUCCAAAGGCUGAAAAGGAAAGGCUUCAGUACUGUGUUGUUCAGUGGCCAACGUGAUGGUUACAAACUGCCAUAAUCUUACAGCGCAAGUAACUCCAUCAAAACUCAAAGGGCAAGUUUAAAGAGAGAUACAUGAAUGAGAGGAUCAUACCAAGAUGUAGCUGAUUUCAACAACUUGCCUUAAAUAAAAGAUUAACUAAGUGCCCGCGUUACAAACCCAA